rnacentral:tRNA from 1 species
GGGGUAAUAGUUCAGUGGUAGAGCACAUGCUUAGCAUGAAUGAGGCCCUGGAUUCAAUUCCCCAUUACCACG